UACAGAGGAUGCAAGCGUUAUCCGGAAUGAUUGGGCGUAAAGCGUCUGUAGGUGGCUUUUUAAGUCCGUCCGUCAAAUCCCAGGGCUCAACUCUGGACAGGCGGUGGAAACUACCAAGCUGGAGUACGAUAGGGGCAGAGGGAAUUUCCGGUGGAGCGGUGAAAUGCGUAGAUAUACAUUUGGAACGCCAAUGGUGAAAACAUGGGUAGCUGGGGAUGAUGCUGACGCUGGAGACACGAAAGCCAGGGGAGCAA
rnacentral:rRNA from 1 species